GGUGGGGGAGAAAAAAAAUAAUAACCCAGGAGGCGGUCACCGCUGCCACAGGUGCAGGCUGUUACCCUUGACAUGUGCAGCAGCCCCCCAAAGCCAUGGAGACCAGGUCAUCUGGAAUGUCCAUUUAUGUCAGUGGAAGAAAGAAAAAGGGGUCUCCUCGCAUCCUCACCACUGUGUUCUCCCAUCCACCCUGCUCCCGUCCCACUUCCUGCAACUCAAUUACUGACAGUUUAACAUUGAGUUUCUGGAAACUGUGCUGCCUCCUUGAUGGUCUAACUACUAGAGUUACUCCAAUAGCAGGAAUUUCAAGCCAGCAAACCAGACAUACAUAGGAGGCACAGCAAAAGAUCCAAGGCGAGGGGCUUUCCUCACCUUUACCCUUGUUCUCAUAUGGAGGUGGCGCGCGUCUAUGAGACACAGUACCCCACUCGGCGAUCCUCUGCGGUCCAGCAAAUUUCAUCACUUGUUUGGAAAACAAAUCAGUUAACCCUGCAAAACAGAACAGAGACAUUACGGAGACUUGAGGAUUGAUUUCUACAUUGAUUAUAAAGACUUUCACACUGGGUGCUCUUGCUUUCUUGCUCUGCGAGAAGCCAGUUGGCUUCCUGUGAGCUGCCUAUGGAGAAACGCACAUGGCAAGGAACUGAGGGUUGCCUCCAGCAAAUAGAUGGCGAGGAGGUGAAGCCUUCAGUCCAACAGCCUUUAAGGAACUGAAUUCUGCCAACAACCAUGUGAGCAGGCUUGGAGACGGAUGCUACCACCAUCAAGCCUUCAAGAGUGAAUUCUUUUUUCUUGAGACAGAGUCUCACCCUG